CUGGGGAUGGAAUUUUGGGCAACAAGUACACGUUCAGCUUCAUGUACCUGGAGCCCGGAUGCGCGCCUGGCACUUAACAACCCAGUAAAGAUCUGGAGCGGGAGGGUGGCGUGAGUGCUGAUGGGAAAGAAGUGGACUUUACGGAAACCCGAUUUUGAUAAAGCAGGAGAUCUCUGGAUUUUCCAAGAAAGGGAAUCGUGGAGAAAGUGCGCGCAGAAAUUUGGAGUAAAUGGAGGUGAACCGAAAGCAAAGAGAAUACAGAAGAGAGUGAUUAAAGAAGACACGAGUACAAUUUUUCUUCUGGAAGCUGAGAAAGAUAGGAAAUGCGAGAAAAUCACAGCUGCCCUUGAAUCUUGUGGGCAAAGGUCUAUCUGGGGCAUCUAUGACAAUGGCUACUGCCGGGCCAAACAUGGGAGGAGGAAUAACACUGAGAUCCAAGAACCUGGCCAUGGAGAGAGAAGGCUGGAGCCCAGGCCUAUGGAGAUGCCAGUGUUGCCAUGACAACAGCAGUGGUACAUGGGGAGAUGGAGGAACUCACGGGGACCAACAUGUGUCCAGACUCUGACAAAGAUAGAAGGAAACAAAAAAAAACAGGCCCUUGGACGGCCUGCUUUGUGUUUGCUUCUUCUUCCUAUAUGCGGGGAGGGAGGGCUCUAUUCUGUGUCCUGUCCCAGCAUAUCUGAGAGUCUGUCCAGUUCCCUGAGGCUUGGCCCACCAUUGCCUUCUCCCUCCACUUUCCUUUGGCUUUGGCUCCCUGGAUGAUGUGAUGCUCUCCUGCAGGUCUCAGGUGCAAAGGUCAUCAGAGAGCCCGCUGGCCGCACCUGCUGAGCACGCCUGCUCAGGCUGUACCUGAGAGGCAGGGCAUUAAGCUCCCUUUCCCAGUGGUAGUUUUUGCAGUGGGCCUCUGGCCAAAGCAAAUGCACUGUGGGGGAACUGGCCUGAAGAGCUCUGGACAUCCACACUCUUUGUCUGCCCAUCCUCCUUGGCAGAGCAAGAAGUCCUUGGUGAGCAAACGUAGCUCUAGGCCAGCGUUGUUUUGGACAAUAUAUUUUGAAAUAUAUAUAUAGGACAAUAUAUUUUGAAAUGAUAUAUUCUUUUAAAACUAUAGGAAGGUCAAAAUCAUAUUGCAGACCACCAUGCUGUAGAGGAGGG
rnacentral:lncRNA from 1 species